rnacentral:rRNA from 1 species
AUUGAACGCUGGCGGCAUGCCUUACACAUGCAAGUCGAACGGCAGCACGGGAGCAAUCCUGGUGGCGAGUGGCGAACGGGUGAGUAAUAUAUCGGAACGUGCCCAGUCGUGGGGAUAACGCAGCGAAAGCUGUGCUAAUACCGCAUACGAUCUACGGAUGAAAGCGGGGGAUCGCAAGACCUCGCGCGAUUGGAGCGGCCGAUAUCAGAUUAGCUAGUUGGUGGGGUAAAGGCCCACCAAGGCGACGAUCUGUAGCUGGUCUGAGAGGACGACCAGCCACACUGGAACUGAGACACGGUCCAGACUCCUACGGGAGGCAGCAGUGGGGAAUUUUUGGGACAAUGGGCGCAAGCCUGAUCCAGCAAUGCCGCGUGCAGGAUGAAGGCCUUCGGUUGUAACUGCUUUG